CUGAGUCCACAACCUCAGUCAAUACAAGCCUAGGAUGGCCACUGUGUUCACCUUGGUUAUGUGUGUAAAUUUGUAACUCCAGGAUGAAGUAAUGAAUCAACAGCAUUGAUGCUUUAAUGUCACGUGUGCUUCAGGGCUCCUAGGUGACUGACAUGCUUGAGGGGCCCUGUUUCUCCAUCUCCAUGUUGUCUCAGGCUAACAUCCAGCCCAUCCCAGCCCCUCCAUAGCUGCCACUGUUCUGAUUGGCCCAUCCUGCAUCAUGAUGGCCUUGGCUUGCAGAGGACAGCAGAAGUGAUGCUGUGUGACUUCCAAGACUCGGCCAUAAGAGGGUACAGCCUCUGCCUGGUUUCUGUUUAUUUCGACACGCAGCUGCAUGGCCCUGAGCGGGGCAGAAGCCACCUGCGGGAGAGACCAUGUGGGGAGGACAUGCAGAGACAGAGAGAGGUGCCCAAGGAGCCCCAGCUGUGUCUUCCCAGUGCAGAUGCCAGACGUGGGAGUGAGGAAGCCUUUGAGAUGCCUCUGGCCCCAGCUGCUGUCUGAGCGACGUCUGUGUGAGGGACCCCCAGGGAGCGCUGCCUGCUGAGCCUCGUCAGCUCAGAACCGUG